rnacentral:rRNA from 1 species
ACACUCCUACGGGAGGCAGCAGUGGGGAAUAUUGCACAAUGGGCGCAAGCCUGAUGCAGCCAUGCCGCGUGUAUGAAGAAGGCCUUCGGGUUGUAAAGUACUUUCAGCGGGGAGGAAGGCGAUAAGGUUAAUAACCUUGUUGAUUGACGUUACCCGCGGAAGAAGCACCGGCUAACUCCGUGCCAGCAGCCGCGGUAAUACGGAGGGUGCAAGCGUUAAUCGGAAUUACUGGGCGUAAAGCGCACGCAGGCGGUCUGUCAAGUCGGAUGUGAAAUCCCCGGGCUCAACCUGGAACUGCAUUCGAAACUGGCAGGCUAGAGUCUUGUAGAGGGGGGUAGAAUUCCAGGUGUAGCGGUGAAAUGCGUAGAGAUCUGGAGGAAUACCGGUGGCGAAGGCGGCCCCCUGGACAAAGACUGACGCUCAGGUGCGAAAGCGUGGGGAGCAAACAGGAUUAGAUACCCCUGUAGUCCCA